UUGUCCGGGAUUUAUUGGGCGUAAAGAGCUUGUAGGCGGUUUGUCGCGUCGGGAGUGAAAACUCAGGGCUUAACCCUGAGCCUGCUUCCGAUACGGGCAGACUUGAGGAAGGUAGGGGAGAAUGGAAUUCCUGGUGAAGCGGUGGAAUGCGUAGAUAUCAGGAGGAACACCAGUGGCGAAGGCGGUUCUCUGGACCUUUCCUGACGCUGAGAAGCGAAAGCGUGGGGAGCAAACAGGCUUAGAUACCCUGGUAGUCCACGCCGUAAACGGUGGGUACUAGGUGUGGGGGACAUUCCACGUUCUCCGUGCCGCAGCUAACGCAUUAAGUACCCCGCCUGGGGAGUACGGCCGCAAGGCUAAAACUCAAAGGAAUUGACGGGGCCCCGCACAAGCGGCGGAGCAUGCGGAUUAAUUCGAUGCAACGCGAAGAACCUUACCUGGGUUUGACAUAUGCCGGAAACAUCCAGAGAUGGAUGCCCCUUUUUGGUCGGUUUACAGGUGGUGCAUGGCUGUCGUCAGCUCGUGUCGUGAGAUGUUGGGUUAAGUCCCGCAACGAGCGCAACCCUCGUCCUAUGUUGCCAGCGGGUAAUGCCGGGGACUCAUAGGAGACCGCCGGGGUCAACUCGGAGGAAGGUGGGGAUGACGUCAAGUCAUCAUGCCCCUUAUGUCCAGGGCUUCACGCAUGCUACAAUGGCCGGUACAAAGAGCUGCGAACCUGUAAGGGUGAGCGAAUCUCAAAAAGCCGGUCUCAGUUCGGAUUGGGGUCUGCAACUCGACCCCAUGAAGUCGGAGUCGCUAGUAAUCGCAGAUCAGCAACGCUGCGGUGAAUACGUUCCCGGGGCUUGCACACACCGCCCGU
rnacentral:rRNA from 1 species